UACGUAGGGGGCGAGCGUUGUCCGGAUUCAUUGGGCGUAAAGAGCUCGUAGGCGGCUUGUCAAGUCGGGUGUGAAACCUCCAGGCUCAACCUGGAGACGCCACUCGAGACUGUCAUGGCUAGAGUCCGGUAGGGGAUCACGGAAUUCCUGGUGUAGCGGUGAAAUGCGCAGAUAUCAGGAGGAACCCCGAUGGCGAAGGCGGGUUGCUGGGCUGACACUGACGCUGAGGCGCGAAAGCUAGGGGAGCGAAUGGG
rnacentral:rRNA from 1 species